rnacentral:rRNA from 1 species
UAGGGAAUCUUCGGCAAUGGACGAAAGUCUGACCGAGCAACGCCGCGUGAGUGAAGAAGGUUUUCGGAUCGUAAAACUCUGUUGUUAGAGAAGAACAAGGACGUUAGUAACUGAACGUCCCCUGACGGUAUCUAACCAGAAAGCCACGGCUCACUACGUUCCAGCAGCCGCGGUAAUACGUAGGUGGCAAGCGUUGUCCGGAUUUAUUGGGCGUAAAGCGAGCGCAGGCGGUUUCUUAAGUCUGAUGUGAAAGCCCCCGGCUCAACCGGGGAGGGUCAUUGGAAACUGGGAGACUUGAGUGCAGAAGAGGAGAGUGGAAUUGCAUGUGUAGCGGUGAAAUGCGUAGAUAUAUGGAGGAACACCAGUGGCGAAGGCGGCUCGCUGGUCUGUAACUGACGCUGAGGCUCGAAAGCGUGGGGAGCAAACAGG